rnacentral:misc_RNA from 1 species
GUUUGCAAGACAUCGAGGGAAGACGGGAACGUUGCAUUUGCUACAGGAAGAAAUAUUUAGACUGGAAAAGGCCAUAGAAACGGAUCACAAGCUGAAACACAUGGCCGAAUUACAACAGUCUGUAGUGGGGGAUGUUGAAGCUCGGCAGCAACUGGCUAAUCAAGUGGUGCAAUGGGAGGAAAAUUUGGAACGACUACACUGCGAACAAUUUCGGUUGCGAUGUUACAUGGCCAGUCUGCAAAGCGGAGAACUGCCUAACCCCAAAUCUUUGUUAACUCACGUGUCGAGGGCUACAAAGAACACGCUGAACAAACUAGGCGUAUUCACCGUUUCAUCGUUCCAUGCCUUUAUCUGUGCGAGGAGUCCUUCGCUUCUCAACAACCUCUUGGCUGGCAGAGGUGCAACAAAAAGAAGACCCCCAAUGCUCUCUCGGUCUAAUAGCGGAUCAAGCAGAAGAUCACUUCAGAUGAAUUCCAGAGAAGAAUCUGAAAAAACUGUUCGGGUAUCUCUGCCUGAUUCGCAAUCGACUGCGGUGUACGUCCGAGAUGGUAUGUCUGUCGAAGAAUUUCUUACCAGUGCCUGUACCAGGAAGAACCUCAACCCUACCGAGCAUUUCGUUAGGGUGAAAAAGAGAAGAGACAUGGAAGACCAUAACUAUUUUGUGCCUCAUCGGAGCGACCUCAUCGAAACUUACUUGCAUACUCAUGAAAUUGUUGAAGUUUGUGCGAAAAUUCUCUAUCAAGUUGAAUUAUCGAGGAAUACGCUGGAGCAGAUGUGGGGCUUCAGUGUCGAGGCCGAACUUGUUGAAAAUGCCGAUAGGCAGGACGAACUUUGUUGCUACGUUAGCAGAGUGGAAGACAAAAGCGUUGCUAUGCAGAAUGGUAUAAUAAAAGGCGAUGAAAUCAUGGUAAUAAAUGGGGCGAUCGUUUCCGACCUGGACAUGAUGUAUUUGGAGAGCGUUCUACAAGAAGAGUUGUCCUUGUGCAUGAUGAUGCGAUCUUCGCGAACCGAACCACCGGAAUUGACAGGGAUCCUCAGGACGACCGAUGACAACAUCGAAAGUUUGGUUUGCCCUCCACCGCCCUCCGAGCCCCAGGUCAUCAGUGAGGAAAUGAUCUCCGGUCUCAUAGUUCCUGCCCCAGGUUGGAGUAAAGAACCUCAACCGUCGUACUCUACAGAAUCGGAUAACGUUUCCACGUCCCUUACGGCCGACGGCGGGAUCAAGUUCAGCUCGAGAACAAACUCUUUCGAAAUCGAAAACUUGCUCAAAACCGCGGAACAAGUGACGGGAUUUUGUCGAUCGCCGGUCGAAACCAGAAAGUCAAGCCCUACGGGCAGCAUUGUCAGCAACACAUCACAAGCACACACUCGGCAACUAACCGACGCGGAAAAACUAAGAAAAGUCAUCCUAGAACUGAUUGAGACCGAAAGGACAUACGUAAAGCAUUUAAAUAAUCUUCUAGAGAAUUAUCUGGAACCACUUAAGAAAGAAACAUUCCUAUCAAAUGCGGAAAUCAACGCGCUAUUUGGUAACAUUCAAGAAAUCGUAGCAUUCCAAAGACAGUUCCUACAAAGUUUGGAGGAAGCGUUAGAAUUAGAACCUGACUUUCACAAAUUCGAUCAUCCUAGUCAAUUCAAGAACAUGCUGUUCUCAAUCGGCAGCGCAUUCUUGUACUACGUCAAUCAUUUCAAGCUUUACAGCUCGUUCUGUGCAAGUCACAGUAAGGCACAAAAGGUCCUCCAUCCAAAUGAGGGGAAUCAGGCGCUGCAGGAAUUUUUGGCCGCGAGAAAUCCUAGACAGCAACAUUCGUCUACAUUAGAAUCUUAUUUAAUUAAACCGAUUCAAAGAAUACUAAAGUAUCCUUUGCUACUGCAACAACUGAGAAAUCUGACGGAUCCCAAUUCUGACGAACAUCAGCAUUUAGUCGAGGCCCUAAAGGGAAUGGAGAAAGUAGCCGAACAUAUAAACGAAAUGCAAAGGAUCCACGAAGAGUACGGUGCAAUUUUCGAUCAUUUAUUUAGACAACAUCAAAAAUCGUGUAAACAACCGAUAGAUUUAAGUCCUGGUGAUCUCCUUUAUUACGGUGGCGUUGAAUGGCUAAAUAUUUCCGAUUUUUUGGGAAAAAUUAAGAAAGGCUUAGAACUUCACGCCAUGUGCUUCGUCUUCAAAUCGGCCGUAGUUUUCUUAUGUAAAGAACGUCUAAGACAAAAGAAAAAGCUAAUGGGCGUUUCGAGUAAAACAAAUGCUUCAGAGGUAGAAAUUAUAAGAUAUCAAGUACUAAUUCCUGUCACAGAAGUACAAGUUCGAGCUUCAUCGGCCAAAGAUAUGGAUUCUCAUUUUCUAUGGGAGUUGAUUCAUUUAAGAAAUCAACUGCAACGAAGAUCAGAAAAAGUUUACGUAUUAUCAAAUAGCACUGCAGAUUUCCGAAACGCCUUCCUAAAGACUAUAAGACAAAUCAUAAGGGAAUCGGUAAGGAACAUGUCGAUACCAUCGACGAAACCUGGAUCCGGUCCUGGUAUAAUUCUGGUCUCGAGUCGCAAGGGCGAUGUCAUGUCCAGUCAAACACUCGAACGGCCCAAUAAGCAAACCGUUCACGUAAUUCAGGGGUCGCACACGUUAGGAAAAAUCAAAAAGUCGAAGAGUUCUCAAAGACACUCAGCCGGAAACAUCGAUUACGAUAACAUCAGUCAAGAAGCUGACGAACCUCCGAGCGGAAGUUUUAGAUCAAGAAGUAAAACGUUAGGAGAUACAGCAGAUGGACCAAAAAGGCAUGAUCAAGAAAAACCUGACCCAGGAACCAAGUCUGAAGGAGAGGAAGACUCACAAGGUGGAAAUACAAAAUCCAAGACAAAUUUAGGAAGAACCCCAAAUCACCUCACUCUCAGCACUACAUCAACUUUGUCGGCCGGCAGCACUGGCAGUCAAGCUCGUCUAAUCCAGUCGUCGCACCAACCGGAGCAUUAUCAGCCCAUGCAGGUCGAAGAAUUAGGUAAGCAAUAUUCGUCGUCCUCUAAUACGAAAACAGUUAAAGCGGAAGUGCACGCAUCAAAAACCCCAUCGCCAAAUCGUUCCCCGAAAAAGCACACUCCCCUCUCCAGGAAGAAGUCUAGCCCCAACCAUUCGAGAAAGACUAGUCCCCAUUCGCGAAGGUCUAGUCUCAGUCCGGUUAAAACUUGUACCGAUAAUUCAAAAAUAAGUGAAGAACGAGCUAAAGUCGAAAACGAUUUAAAAGAAAAGAAACCUCUGAAAUCUUCGCUAAAGCAACCGUCAAAGUCACUGAGCAUUGAAAACCCCACGUGUGUUGAGUGCUAUUUGUCGGGGAAAACUGAUAAGAAACAGUGACACUACUGUUGAAGCAAUUGUUCAAUUAAUUUUAUUAAAUUAUAUAUCUACUAAUUACUACUAUUGUAUUAUACGUAUAGGGUACAUGAUAAUGUUUAAGUAAUUUUCGAUAUCUCGCUUAUUUACAAUUGUGCAAUUAACGAAUCUUGUUGAAGUUUACUAUUAAGUUUUUCAGAGGAUUUAUAAAGAUUUAGAGUUAAAACCACGAUAUUAAAUUAUAGGUAUCUCUUAAAAGAAGACUUACAGCUGAAAAGGGGAACGAAUUUAAAAAUUAUUUACACAAAAUUUACGUGUAUACAAUUUUUCAAAAUAUUUCAUACUAAUUUCAUUAAAUGACAGUAAACAAAAAUUAUCAUCUUGGGGUGAACCAAGAAUUUAAGAAAAACUCUGUUAAAAGUAUGAGAAAGAAUAUGAUAGUUGAAAAAUUUAAAUGCAUUCUGGUAAAAAAUUUUGACCAGUUAUUCAAAGAUAUUUAUUUCCUACCUUCAUUUGUUGCUAUAAAGAAAUUGAGGUAAAUACGAAGAAUGAUAAUCUUAACAUUCAAUUACUACCGCUUACCAUUAUAUAGUUUUUUCCAGUGUACAAGCAGUAACAGUCAGAAGAUGGUUGAAUAAGCAGAAACGUUACAAUAACAUAAAAUUGUUUAAUUAUUUGACCGCCACCCUGGAAAAAACUAUAUAAUUUAAAAGUAACGAUCAGGAAUCUCACUUAAAUUUCUUACCAUUUUAUUUUCGUUAAUCAAGUCA